UUUAGUGGCAUCCAUUCUUAUGACACAGACAUUGAUUUCUCCAUUUUGUAGGUGAGAAAAUUGAAGUUUCAAGAGUUGAGGGCUUGGACAGUGUGCCUCACAGCCUUGGCCCAGGCGGUGAAAGCUGAGCUACCCCUUGCAACCAGGACAGUGCGCUGCGGACCCCUGCUGGGGGCUCAGGGCUUCUGCGUGGGCACAAUGGAAAAGACUGGGUGGAGAGUCACUGCCCCAGUUCUGCAGGCUGGUCUACUGUGGAUACCAGAUGGGUCACGGAGACUCACACUGACUUUCACAAACUUCAUGAGAUGAAGACGCAACUGCAUCUGUGAUUCUGUCUCUGGAUUGCCCUGUGGAGGCAAACUGCCAGGUGGAACCCUGCAGCCCACUGGGAACAAACCUUUUACCCUGAGAGCUGAACUUGAUUGGACAUUCGGAAGCGGUCACUGAAAGGAAGUAGAAGACCCAUGGCAAUGAUCCAUGAGCAAAACUUCUCUGCUACCCUGGGACACCCAUUCUCCUGUUGGCCACACAGCUUCUGCAGCAGAGCUCACUCUGCAGAUGAAAAUGGUCAAUAGGAGGUCGCACUGCCAGGUCACUUGGCUCAGAAGUCUCCCAGAGGAGCGAGGUCUGGAAACUCUACACCUAACAUGGGGCUGAACUCAGGACCCCAAGAUCAAGAGUCACAUGCUCUACAGACUGAGCCAACCAGUCCCCCUUACUAGUGGGACUUCUGUUGAGUAGUUCAACCAAGAGAACUACAAUGCUAUAAUCCACAUGAGAAAGGCAGGUGACUUUUCUUGUCUAUAAGGAAUCGAAGGGAACUUGCUCACUAUAUCUGGGGCCAACAGUGUAAAGACGCCCUAUACUCUGAAUCCCUGGGUCUCCCAUCGUCCAACAUAGCUUUCCCUUCCUUGUAAUACCAUGAACCCGGUCGGCACCCUCCGAACACAAUCACUGCCUUCGUGUUCAGAAACGCAAGGCCCCACGUUCACGCCGGGCAGUGGCAGUCUAACCAACCCAGACGGCCUUGAGCUGAUUGUCUUUAGCUCUACAACAGCAGAGCUCCGGCUAUGCCGGGUACCACUAGUAGGGGAAAGGGAGCUGCCAGCCCAAUGCGGCUCCAGACUCGUGAGGUUGCAUUUGCUUUCGCACCUGGGCAACUGGUGCACAGGGCAGAGGUGGGGCAGCAGUGGCCCCUGUCAUCCAGGAGGCCAGGGGGAGGCCCCAGAGGUAGGCAGCGGAAGGACUGUCUGAGGGGUCACCGUGCUGCUCUGGACUUCCUGCUGAGGCACCGUGCUCCCCACGUGGAUGUAAUUCUGUGUAAGGACACAAAGCUGUUGUGCAGACAGGACCUCUGUCUCAUUGCAUACUGUGGGGAGGGAUCCUUUUACUUGACGUAUAAAGAGAGACCCCAGUGAGUAGUGCUUAAGCGUAACUGCAGAACGUAUU